rnacentral:rRNA from 1 species
AUACGAAAGGUGCAAGCGUUGUUCGGAUUUACUGGGCGUAAAGAGAGUGUAGGUGGUUUAUUAAGUCGGAUGUGAAAUCCCGGGGCUCUACCUCGGAACUGCAUUCGAUACUGAUAGGCUAGAGUUUGGGAGGGGUAAGCGGAAUUCCGUGUGUAGCAGUGAAAUGCGUAGAUAUACGGAGGAACACCUGAGGCGAAGGCGGCUUACUGGACCAAUACUGACACUGAGACUCGAAAGCGUGGGUAGCAAACAGGAUUAGAAACCCUAGUAGUCC